UAAGACAGAGGGGGCAAGCGUUGCUCGGAAUCACUGGGCGUAAAGGGCGCGUAGGCGGGAUGGCAAGUCAGUCGUGAAAUCUCUCGGCUCAACCGAGAAACGUCGGCUGAUACUGCCGUUCUUGAGGGAUGCAGAGGAGACUGGAAUUCCCGGUGUAGCGGUGAAAUGCGUAGAUAUCGGGAGGAAUACCAGUGGCGAAGGCGGCUUCCUGGCCUGUUCUUGACGCUGAGGCGCGAAAGCUGGGGGAGCAAACGGGAUUAGAUACCCCGGUAGUCCACGCCGUAAACUAUGAGAGCUAGACGUUGGGGGGCUUGCCUCCCUGUGUCGCAGCUAACGCGUGAAGCUCUCCGCCUGGGGAGUACGGCCGCAAGGUUA
rnacentral:rRNA from 1 species